rnacentral:rRNA from 1 species
UACGUAGGGGGCGAGCGUUGUCCGGAAUCAUUGGGCGUAAAGAGCUCGUAGGCGGUUCAGUAAGUCGGCUGUGAAAUUCCGAGGCUCAACCUCGGAACUGCAGUCGAUACUAUUGUGACUAGAGUCCGGUAGAGGAGAAUGGAAUUCCCGGUGUAGCGGUGAAAUGCGCAGAUAUCGGGAGGAACACCAGUAGCGAAGGCGACAUCCUGGACCGGUAUUGACGCUGAGGCGCGAAAGCCAGGGGAGCAAAGCGGG